rnacentral:rRNA from 1 species
UGGGGAAUUUUGGACAAUGGGCGAAAGCCUGAUCCAGCAAUGCCGCGUGUGUGAAGAAGGCCUUCGGGUUGUAAAGCACUUUUGUCCGGAAAGAAAUCCUUGGCUCUAAUACAGUCGGGGGAUGACGGUACCGGAAGAAUAAGCACCGGCUAACUACGUGCCAGCAGCCGCGGCAAUACGUAGGGUGCAAGCGUUAAUCGGAAUUACUGGGCGUAAAGCGUGCGCAGGCGGUUUGCUAAGACCGAUGUGAAAUCCCCGGGCUCAACCUGGGAACUGCAUUGGUGACUGGCAGGCUAGAGUAUGGCAGAGGGGGGUAGAAUUCCACGUGUAGCAGUGAAAUGCGUAGAGAUGUGGAGGAAUACCGAUGGCGAAGGCAGCCCCCUGGGCCAAUACUGACGCUCAUGCACGAAAGCGUGGGGAGCAAACAGGAUUAGAUACCCUGGUAGUCCACGCCCUAAAACGAUGUCAACUAGUUGUUGGGGAUUCAUUUCCUUAGUAACGUAGCUAACGCGUGAAGUUGACCGCCUGGGGAGUACGGUCGCAAGAUUAAAACUCAAAGGAAUUGACGGGGUCAUAGCUGUUUCCU